AGCAGUGUGGCGCAGUGGAAGCGUGCUGGGCACAUAACCCAGAGAUCAAUGAAUCGAGACCAUUUCCUUCUU
rnacentral:tRNA from 1 species